GGGCCCCUAGCUCAAUCUGGCAGAGUGCUCCCGUGGCACGGGAGAAGCUCCGGGUUCGAAUCCCGGGGGUGUCCA
rnacentral:tRNA from 1 species